CUACGGGAGGCAGCAGUGGGGAAUUUUGGACAAUGGGGGCAACCCUGAUCCAGCCAUGCCGCGUGUAUGAAGAAGGCCUUAGGGUUGUAAAGUACUUUUGUUAGGGAAGAAAAGUCAGCUGUGAAUAAUGGCUGAUACUGACGGUACCUAAAGAAUAAGCACCGGCUAACUACGUGCCAGCAGCCGCGGUAAUACGUAGGGUGCGAGCGUUAAUCGGAAUUAUUGGGCGUAAAGCGAGUGUAGACGGUUAUUUAAGCCAGAUGUGAAAUACCCAAGCCUAACUUGGGAGGUGCAUAUGGAACUGGGUAGCUAGAGUGUGUCAGAGGGAGGUAGAACUCCACGUGUAGCAGUGAAGUGCGUAGAGAUGUGGAAGAAUACCGAUGGCGAAGGCAGCCUCCUGGGAUAACACUGACGUUGAGGCUCGAAAGCGUGGGGAGCAAACAGGAUUAGAUACCCUGGUAGUCCACGCCCUAAACGAUGACAAUUAGCUGUUGGCCCCAUUAAGGGGUGAGUAGCGAAGCUAACGCGUGAAAUUGUCCGCCUGGGGAGUACGGUCGCAAGAUUAAAACUCAAAGGAAUUGACG
rnacentral:rRNA from 1 species